CCUACGGGUGGCUGCAGUGGGGAAUAUUGCACAAUGGGCGCAAGCCUGAUGCAGCCAUGCCGCGUGUGUGAAGAAGGCCUUCGGGUUGUAAAGCACUUUCAGCGGGGAGGAAGGCGGUGAGGGUAAUAACCUCAUCGAUUGACGUUACCCGCAGAAGAAGCACCGGCUAACUCCGUGCCAGCAGCCGCGGUAAUACGGAGGGUGCAAGCGUUAAUCGGAAUUACUGGGCGUAAAGCGCACGCAGGCGGUCUGUCAAGUCGGAUGUGAAAUCCCCGGGCUCAACCUGGGAACUGCAUUCGAAACUGGCAGGCUAGAGUCUUGUAGAGGGGGGUAGAAUUCCAGGUGUAGCGGUGAAAUGCGUAGAGAUCUGGAGGAAUACCGGUGGCGAAGGCGGCCCCCUGGACAAAGACUGACGCUCAGGUGCGAAAGCGUGGGGAGCAAACAGGAUUAGAUACCCGAGUAGUC
rnacentral:rRNA from 1 species